rnacentral:misc_RNA from 1 species
AAAGUCAUAACAAGGUUUCCGUAGGUGAACCUGCGGAAGGAUCAUUAUUGAAUUCGGCCUUUUGGCCUUAUACACAUAAUACACUGUGAACCGUGGCUUCGGCCCAAACUUGAAGUCUAGAAUGUAACAUAUCAUAACAAAAUACAACUUUUAACAACGGAUCUCUUGGUUCUG